GUGGGGAAUAUUGCGCAAUGGGCGAAAGCCUGACGCAGCGACGCCGCGUGUGGGAUGAAGGUCUUCGGAUUGUAAACCACUGUCGGGAGGGACGAAUGCGCCGCAAGGCGAGUGACGGUACCUCCAAAGGAAGCACCGGCUAACUCUGUGCCAGCAGCCGCGGUAAUACAGAGGGUGCGAGCGUUGUCCGGAAUCACUGGGCGUAAAGGGCGCGUAGGCGGCUUGGUAAGUAGGGGGUGAAAUCUUGCGGCUCAACUGCAAGGCUGCCUCCUAAACUGCCUGGCUGGAGCACGGUAGAGGCAGAUGGAAUUCCCGGUGUAGCGGUGGAAUGCGUAGAGAUCGGGAAGAACAUCGGUGGCGAAGGCGGUCUGCUGGGCCGUUGCUGACGCUGAGGCGCGACAGCGUGGGGAGCAAACAGGAUUAGAUACCCGGGUAGUCC
rnacentral:rRNA from 1 species